rnacentral:rRNA from 2 species
GUUUGAUCCUGGCUCAGGACGAACGCUGGCGGCGUGCCUAAUACAUGCAAGUCGAGCGGAUUGAUGGGAGCUUGCUCCCUGAUAUCAGCGGCGGACGGGUGAGUAACACGUGGGUAACCUGCCUGUAAGACUGGGAUAACUCCGGGAAACCGGGGCUAAUACCGGAUAACUCAUUUCCUCGCAUGAGGAAAUGUUGAAAGAUGGCUUCUUGCUAUCACUUACAGAUGGACCCGCGGCGCAUUAGCUAGUUGGUGAGGUAACGGCUCACCAAGGCAACGAUGCGUAGCCGACCUGAGAGGGUGAUCGGCCACACUGGGACUGAGACACGGCCCAGACUCCUACGGGAGGCAGCAGUAGGGAAUCUUCCGCAAUGGACGAAAGUCUGACGGAGCAACGCCGCGUGAGUGAUGAAGGUUUUCGGAUCGUAAAGCUCUGUUGUUAGGGAAGAACAAGUGCCGUUCGAAUAGGACGGCACCUUGACGGUACCUAACCAGAAAGCCACGGCUAACUACGUGCCAGCA